GGUAGCGUGGCUGAGGGGUCUAAGGCGCUGGAUUUAGGCUCCAGUCUCUUCGGGGGCGUGGGUUCAAAUCCCACCGCUGCCA
rfam:Danio rerio chromosome 4, GRCz11 reference primary assembly.